rfam:Aedes albopictus isolate Foshan contig65237, whole genome shotgun sequence.
UGUUCUGUGGCUUAGUUGGUUAAAGCGCCGGUCUAGCGAAUACGAAGUUGUGGGUUCGAAUCCCACCAGAACGC